GAGGAGGUAACUAUACCACCAAAAUCGGAAACCUCCUCCCCCCUCCCCCAUAUCAACGCAGUCCCCUUCCUCCUCUUUUACGAAGCAUCCCUUCCUGAGCAGAUCGAUCGUGGCCAGCCCUCCCUCCUGAGUCUUAUAGCUCGCCCCGCCGAUUCCAUCGUUGAGGCCGACGGUACCAGAGGCGUGUCUUGUUCAACAACUGGGCGUAUAUAUGUCACGGACAAGAAUUAACGUUGUUGAAUCUAAUGAAGAAUAUAUGAUGAAAGAACCGAUCGGACAUCAUAAUUCUGCAGAAAACGAUGUCGAAUCAUCCGAUGUCCAUGAAAGAACUACUAAUGAUAAAGAAGGUUUCACAAAUUGUGAUGACGCUGAUGCGGAUGAAACCGAAGAUGGUGAAAAUGCAAAAACAAAAGAGCGUAAGAAGAGGAAGCUGAAAUAUAUUUGGAACCUUCCAAAAGGGAAAAGGAUAAUGGUUCGCUGCAAUGACAUAGAUCAGCCAAUUGGAAAAGAGGAUAAACAUCUUGGGGAUUAUCUUGGCUCAGUUGCAAGGAAUUGAUCAGUGUGUUUAUUGAGCUACAAGGAUUGGAGAUUGCUCAAAAUGAAAACAAAUGUAAAGGCUAUACUAGGUCAAGUGAAGAUAAGGUUCCUUUACCCUCCUCGCAUGGAAAAAUAUAUAUUGAAGAUAAUUGGAGACAGAUGGAGGCAACAUAAGUCCGAUCUGAAAGCAAUGUAUUUUGAUGAGAAAAAAGCACCGAAGCCAAUUACAACAAUAAACCAAAAUCCGUGACUCCGGAUCAGUGGAGAUCUCUAGUUAAUCAUUGGACAACCCAGAAAGCGAAGUUACUUUAAAGAAUUCCAUUUUAAACUUUCCUCGUUGGACUUUAUAUAUUGCUCUGUAGAUAUGAUGAAAGAUUUGGACAUAAUUGCUUUGAUUUAUUCUUUGGUAGGGGAUUAGUGCUACAAUAGAAAUAAUUGUUCAAUGAGGAAGUCUACACAUACUAGUGGGACACAAAGUUUCCCUCGUUAGAGGGAAGAAAUGAUGGCACAUGUAGCUAUCGAGCAGGGACGGACCACAGGCGAUGCCACGGGCGACGCGAGCGACUCCCGCGGCAGCAACCGACGCGUCCCGGGCGGCCGCCUCCGGCAUGCCUAGCGGGCGGGUCGGCGGCAGGUUCUGGUCCCUCACGGAGACUGACGACGAGGACGAUGAGGACGGAGGGAUCACCGACGGCUCGCCGGAUUUGUCUUCCCCAACACCUUCCGAUGUGAUCUGCGAAGCUUUCAACCCAAGUUAUUCGGAGGAGGACAUUGCUACUAUUUUCGAUGUUGUAGUUCCAAGCGACGACCUGGCAAGGCAAGGAUUGCGAUCUGACGACAAGAUCGAGUUGGUUCGCCGGAUAGUUCACAAGAGGACGGCGCCCAGGCAUGAUCCCCAAGUGGUACAACCGAGUCACACAGCGUUCAUGCCAGGGCGACACAUACUUGAAGGGGCCAUCGUUUUGCAUGAAACGCUUCAUGGAAUCCAUUCGAAGAAGCUAGAUGGGGUUACCUUCAAAGUGGAUUUUGAGAAGGCAUAUGAUAAAGUUAAAUGGCCUUUCCUUCAGCAGGCAAUGCACAUGGUGAGGCUUGGCGGGACCAAGUGGGUUCUCAAGUCCAGAAUGGUAGUGUCGGAAUCAAGGUUAACGAUGAUAUCGGUCAUUACUUUCAGAUGCAUAAGGGUUUGAGACAAGGAGAUUCCAUGUCUCCUCUCUUAUUUAAUAUAGUGGCCGAUAUGUUGGCCAUUCUUAUUGGCAGAGAAAUAAAACCAUGGUCAAUUGGAGGGCUUAGUUCCUCAUUUGGUCGAUGGUGGUGUCUCCAUCUUGCAAUAUGCUGACGACACUGUCUUAUUCAUAGAACAUGACAUUGCUAAAGCGUGCAAUAUGAAACACACGUGACUUCCCCAGGCGGCUUCCCCAAGCGGCCUCAGACGCGGACGUAACUCCAUCAUCACCCUCAUGGCUUGGGAGAUCUGGAAACACAGGAAUGUGGCCAUCUCUGAUGGUGCCUGUCCUUCCACUGACGAGCUUAUGCAGCUGAUCAAAGAUGAGGCGCGCCGCUGGGCUAAGGCCGGCGAUAGAGGUCUAGAUAGGAUCAUCCCUGUAACUUGAUCUUUGUACCGAGGUUGAGCACCCUCCUCCGUUGCUCGCUAUGCACUCUCUCAGACGCCUAGUUGUGUACGCCCGAGUGACCUGCACUCUGUAUUCUUCUUCCACCUAUCAAUGAAAUGAUACGCUGCUCAGCAUAUUCACGAAAAA